UACGUAGGGACCAAGCGUUGUUCGGAUUUACUGGGCGUAAAGCGCACGUAGGCGGCUUUGCAAGUUAGAGGUGAAAGCCCGGGGCUCAACCCCGGAACUGCCUUUAAGACUGCAUCGCUUGAAUCCGGGAGAGGUGAGUGGAAUUCCGAGUGUAGAGGUGAAAUUCGUAGAUAUUCGGAAGAACACCAGUGGCGAAGGCGGCUCACUGGACCGGUAUUGACGCUGAGGUGCGAAAGCGUGGGGAGCAAACAGG
rnacentral:rRNA from 1 species